GAAAAAGAAAAAUAGGCAACAAGGAGGACAAACUUGAUUAUAGAGGCAAUGGGAACACCAUUGGCUGACAUGAAGGGCCAGGAUGAGGACAUUCUGGAGAAGAUUGUGCAGUGUGAUUAUGUGAGACAACCCACGAGCAAAUACAGUAAACAGAGAGAGAAGCAAGCAAGCAAACAAACAAAAAGAAAAGAAAUUUUAUCUUGUAUGGAUCAGUUUUUCUGAACCAGUUAUUUAAAUGUUACUAAUGAAGAUAAAAAAGUGAGUGGCUUGUGUAAAAUCACAAAUAGAGAUGUGGAAGUUACUCACUACUCUUCAAAAAGCUACUUCAAAAAGCACACUUUUGCAUCAAGAUUUUCUUCAGAACUUUGUCCCAAACCCUGAAGCCAGAGAUAGAUAACAUAGUCAUGUCCAGGUUACAAGCUUUAAUAAUAUUGUGUGAAUAUAUGUAUGUAUGACUGUGUGGUUUUUGCAAAGACAUUGAAACUGCAAAAACAGCACACACAAAAAACUUAAAAAAAAAAUUUAAACUCAAAAUGUUUUAUCAACUCGAGGCAUAUCACUGUUCCAGUUAUUUUAUAUCAAAUACUACUUUGCAAAAGUUCUUAUAGAGAGCUAUAGGAGAAGUGAAACAUAUUUUUAAUUGUUUCUCAUUAACAUGGCACUAUUUCAAAUCUGCCUUUUAUAGCAUGCUCUGACCAACAAGCCCUCCUAACUAAAAGGACGUUGCUAGGAACAACAUAUACACAGGGAAUACACACACAUGCACAUCUGAAAGAAUUUGAUUCUGAAUAAAACAAUGGUUUUUACCUAAUCAAUGCAAUAUUUUUAUUCAAACCAACCUUAUCACACACACACAUACACAAUUGAAAGCUCCACUGAAUUUAUAUAGAACUACAAUACAUAUUAGAAAUAAAUAUGGUAACAAAGAAAAAAAUGACACUUAGCAUGUUAAUAAUUUUGUUGAUUACCUCUCUAUGUUCAACAUGGUUUUAAAAGGAUGGUUAUUUAAAAUUAAAGUCAUCUUGGGCAAUCAUAAUUUUAUCUGUAUAUUACUUACCAAUAGUUUUUGUAUGUUUAAUAUAACUUCCCUCCAGGUGCAUAUAUAGAAUUGCAGCCAAAAUAUACUAGUCUUUGUCAAAAGUAUGUAUUGUCUUUCAUGUGUAAUAUAUAGUCCAUCACCAAGUUAGCACCACAAAUGUACACUUCAUUCUGAGCCUCCUAGUUACAAACUGACUCUUCCAAAGUUUUAGGUGAGGUAUAGACAAAUUCAACCUUAUUCAAUAGUAAUUAGAACAUUUUCCCUCCACAUUUUUACUUCAGUCUGCAAUUAAAGGCAUUUUAAGCAAGGGGUCUCAAACUGCGCAUCACAAGAAAAUACCUGGAUAACAACAGCUCCCAAUACAAAAAUCUGGAAAGACUUAUUUGAUUCUGUCGAAAUUGCCUUCAAUGAUGAUGAGGAAUGAUUUCAAGAAGCUUUAAAGCCCCAAAUUACAAGCACAAAGUUGUUGAAGAAGAAUCUCCACAACUGAGCGCCCCAGCUACUUUGUGCAAAACAGGUGUGCUGUUUGAGUUCUGUCUGAUAGUUUGUAGGGAGAAAUUUCAUUAUUUUAAAAUAUCAAAGCAUCAUGAAGUUUCACAGCCAAUUUUAAGGUUUGCACUUUAUCACUGAAAAAAGAAAUAUAUUUUGUAUACAUUACUAACAUUGUUUCCUAACAAACAGGAAGCAGCAGGUGAAGCUAAGCAAGAUCACAUCAAAUACCUGUACAAUUAGCACAGCCCCCCCCCCCAAGGCUGUGUGCUCUCCCCACUUCUCUUCUCUCUGUAUACCAAUUACUGCAUCUCCAACGAUCCAUCUGUUAAGCUACUGAAGUUCGCAGAUGACACAACAGUGAUUGGUCUCAUUCGAGACAAUGACGAAUCCGCAUAUAGACGAGAGGUCGAACGACUAGCCUUGUGGUGCAACCAAAACAAUCUAGAACUGAACACACUCAAAACCGUAGAAAUGGUGGUAGACUUUAGGAGAAACCCUUCCAUACUUCCACCUCUCACAAUACUAGACAACACAGUAUCAACAGUAGAAACCUUUAAAUUUCUAGGUUCUAUCAUAUUGCAAGAUCUAAAAUGGACAGCUAACAUCAAAAAUGUCAUCAAAAAAGGAAAACAAAGAAUGUUCUUUCUGCGCCAACUCAGUAAGCUCAAACUGCCCGAGGAGCUGCUGAUUCAGUUCUAUAGAGGAAUUAUUAAGUCUGUCAUUUGCACCUCUAUAACUGUCUGGUUCGGUUCUGCAACCCAACAAGAAAGACACAGACUUCAGAGGAUAAUUAGAACUGCAGAAAAAAUAAUUGCUACCAACCUGCCUUCCAUUGAAGAUCUGUAUACUGCAUGAAUCAAGAAGAGGGCCGUGAAAAUAUUUCAGAUCCCUCACAUUCAGGACAUAAACUGUUUCAACUUCUACCCUCAAAACGACGCUAUAGAGCAUUGCACACCAGAACAACUAGACACAAGAACAGUUUUUUCCCGAAGGCCAUCACUCUGCUAAACAAAUAAUUCCCUCAACACUC